UGGCGAACGGGUGAGUAACACGUGGGCAAUCUGCCCUUCACUCUGGGACAAGCCCUGGAAACGGGGUCUAAUACCGGAUACCACCGCGUGAGGCAUGUCUUGUGCUGGAAAGCUCCGGCGGUGAAGGAUGAGCCCGCGGCCUAUCAGCUUGUUGGUGGGGUAAUGGCCUACCAAGGCGACGACGGGUAGCCGGCCUGAGAGGGCGACCGGCCACACUGGGACUGAGACACGGCCCAGACUCCUACGGGAGGCAGCAGUGGGGAAUAUUGCACAAUGGGCGCAAGCCUGAUGCAGCGACGCCGCGUGAGGGAUGACGGCCUUCGGGUUGUAAACCUCUUUCAGCAGGGAAGAAGCGCAAGUGACGGUACCUGCAGAAGAAGCGCCGGCUAACUACGUGCCAGCAGCCGCGGUAAUACGUAGGGCGCAAGCGUUGUCCGGAAUUAUUGGGCGUAAAGAGCUCGUAGGCGGCUUGUCACGUCGGGUGUGAAAGCCCGGGGCUUAACCCCGGGUCUGCAUCCGAUACGGGCAGGCUAGAGUGUGGUAGGGGAGAUCGGAAUUCCUGGUGUAGCGGUGAAAUGCGCAGAUAUCAGGAGGAACACCGGUGGCGAAGGCGGAUCUCUGGGCCAUUACUGACGCUGAGGAGCGAAAGCGUGGGGAGCGAACAGGAUUAGAUACCCUGGUAGUCCACGCCGUAAACGUUGGGAACUAGGUGUUGGCGACAUUCCACGUCGUCGGUGCCGCAGCU
rnacentral:rRNA from 1 species